CGGGGUGCAGCAGGCGCGAAACCUCCGCAAUGCGGGAAACCGCGACGGGGGGACCCCGAGUGCCGUGGCAUCGCCACGGCUUUUCCGGAGUGUAAAAAGCUCCGGGAAUAAGGGCUGGGCAAGGCCGGUGGCAGCCGCCGCGGUAAUACCGGCGGCCCGAGUGGUGGCCGCUAUUAUUGGGCCUAAAGCGUCCGUAGCCGGGCCCGUAAGUCCCUGGCGAAAUCCCACGGCUCAACCGUGGGGCUUGCUGGGGAUACUGCGGGCCUUGGGACCGGGAGAGGCGGGGGGUACCCCUGGGGUAGGGGUGAAAUCCUAUAAUCCCAGGGGGACCGCCAGUGGCGAAGGCGCCCCGUUGGAACGGGUCCGACGGUGAGGGACGAAGGCCAGGGGAACAAACCGGAUUAGAUACCCGGGUAGUCCUGGCUGUAAAGGAUGCGGGCUAGGUGUCGGGUGAGCUUCGGGCUCGCCCGGUGCCGUAGGGAAGCCGUUAAGCCCGCCGCCUGGGGAGUACGGCCGCAAGGCUGAAACUUAAAGGAAUUGGCGGGGGAGCAC
rnacentral:rRNA from 1 species